AAAAAAAUUGGACCAGUUAAUCGUAUUUUUCAAUUUAUGAGACAUUUAAAUUAGCAAUAAAAUUGGUACUCUUUCACUGCACGUGCUUUUCAAUAAUGACCGCUGGGUUUCACAGCUGAUUUUGCGAAGGUGGCGCCAUCUAUGAAAAUUGGUACGCGACUUUGAUAGUCACUCCUUUACCAAUACAGAGCGCCAAAAGCCACGUCUUGGUUUUAACUUUUAAAAUCUAGCUUUUGGUCAAGAAAAGUGGUCAUUGGGUCCAUAGUGUGGCCAUAUCCAAAGGGUAUAGGACAAGGCGCUGCUGCUGCGCUGCGCCUCACUUACACGCGUAUUACAAUGUUCCGUUGUUCCGUGUUCACAAACGCAAAAACGGCUCGUUAAUUGUAUGUGUGCC
rnacentral:lncRNA from 1 species